rnacentral:lncRNA from 1 species
UAGAAUCCAAACUACAUAAGCUCAUCAACUAUAGGAAUAAAGGGUUGCUAAAGUGCUAAGUAACACAAAUAUGAUAUAAAUGUCAUUUUAGUGUGAAAUUGUGCUCAUUGUACACAACAAACUGGAAUAAGUGUUUUUCAUCACCGUUUUCAAGUUCAAACUUAAUGUCAGCGGAGAAUUACACAUAAUAAUAUUAAGGGACAGUCUUAGCAUCAAUUUAUAAGAAUUUCAUAAC